rnacentral:tRNA from 2 species
UCCCUGGUAGUAUAUCGGCUAGUACACGCGCCUGUCACGCGCGAAAGCGGGGUUCGACUCCCCGCCAGGGAG